UCUCUCCCCCAGCAAAUGGAGAGAGAAGAGGGGCUGUAUGGGGAGAGCAGAGGGGAUGAGAGGGAAUAUUUGUUGCUCAAUGUCAGGACUUCUUGUUCCCAUCUUUGCUUAAAGGGAUUCCCUCAAAUGCUGCUGAAUGAAUCUCCUGGAAGAAAGACGUGACCCUUGCAGAAAACAAACAGGAGGGGCUGCUGUGCAUGAGAGAUGAGCACCUGCCAGAAGGAGAGGGGCAGUGAGAGGCAGAGAAGAGGAUGAAGGGGGCAGGAGGGAGAAGGGAAUGGGAGGAUGCAAGCCAGCAAGAGGCAGCCGCAGGCAAGAGGGAUGAAGAUGGGGUACAGGAGAAAAGGAAAGAGAAUGGAUACAAACCCAGGAAGCCAGGGAAAGGGAUGCAAGAGAGGCAGCCAGAGGAGAAUGGGAUGCAUUGCACGGAGCAGAGGGACUGGACAGGAGACAGGAAUGGAGGGGAUGAGAAAGCCAGGGAUGAAAGCGAGAGGAAGGGCAGAGCGCAGGAGCGAGCAGCGCGGAGGGGUGUGAGGGAAUGCACGGGAGCAGAAAGGAAAGAGGGAUGAGCAAGAGAGCGGAGACUGGCUCGGGGCUGGGCGGGCAGAGAUGGAGGAGAGGAUGAGACGCCCCCAGAGGAGUCCGCCGGGAACCGUGAGAGUUUGAGAAGGUACCAAACUUGAGAACCUGGGAGAUGAUUUGCAGAAGUAGUGACCACUCAGAGUUGUAAAUGAAGUCAUUGGAAGGUUUCCUUUGAACAUAUAAAGUGCUAUAUAACGCUAAGUGUUCUGUGCUAAGUGCCUAGGCAUCUUAAAUUGGACACCCAAAAUUAGUGAAUGCAUUGUACCUUAAUUGUCUCUGCUUCCCAUGUGUACAACAGGGAUAAUACUACCCCCUCACCGCAUAGGGGUCUUACAUUAAUUAAUGUUUGUGAAGCACUUGGAUACUAUAGUGAUGAGUGCCAUGGAAAAGCCCAUGAGGAAAUUAAUAAUUCUGUUUUCAGAGCAGGAUUUGAAUAGUGCCAUAUAUAAGGCCUCAGGCUACACAUUGAACAAUGAGCUGACGGCCCUUGCUACGGAGGGGGAAAGGGAAAAGCGGAGCCGCAGCACGCUCUCUGCUCCGGGGACCUUGGGGAAGGGGGUGGAAUCAGGUCAUAUCCCCUCCAGCAGGGCAGGGGGCUAGGAGCACCCCCCAUGACCCCAGCGCACACCCCCAGCCCUCUGCCCUGACCUCUGCACCCCCUCACACACCCCAGCUCACUGUCCUGACCCCUGAACCCUCCUCACACACACCCAGCCCUCUGCCCUCACCUCACAGCUGAUCAGCCGCAGGGAGGAAGAGGAGGAGGGGCAGGAACCCAGCACGCUGGGGGAAGAGGCGGGGGGAAGGGGAAACUUGCCUGCCCUGCAAGGAGAGAGUGAGGUGCGGGGGGCGGAAAAGAGCAGGCCGGGCCGGGCAGAAUUUUUAGUGGCACGCUGCUGUCUGCCCAGGUCCGGCAGAUAGCAGGGUGCCAUUAACAAUUGGCUUACAUGCUGUGUUUGGCAUGCGUGCCAUAGGUUGCCGACCCCUGGCCUAGAUAAUACUUACUUCUGCCUCAGUGCAGGGGACUGGUCUAGAUGAUCUAUCGAGGUCCCUUCCAUUUCUAUGAUUCUGUGUGCACAAAGGGGCUGAAUUAAGGUUGCACAAGCAACUUGAAUUCCAGCAUUUCCUAAUUGGUGAAUUUUUUAUUUUGCAAUCUUAAUGAAGUUCUUUUAACAUAGUUUUUAUAGUGUAAUAUAUAAUUAACACUGUAGAAGAAAUAACAGUACAAAUCCUCUAAAAAAACAGAGUUGUCUACACAGCACAGGCUAAGAUGAUUAAUGCUUAAAUAAGGACUUUUGUGACAAGUAAGAAAUGUGAUCUCUGGGGAAGAAACCAGCAACAUUUUUCUUUCAUCUUCAUUCACCAAAACAGUGUGAGUACUUAUUUUUGCAUAACUAAACAAAAAACAAAAACCACCCCUACAGACUUUCCUUGUGUUUUGGAUAGAAUAUGGAACCAAGAAAAGAACCCAACUCAGUGGAAGAGAAGCAUCAUAGUAAAAUUGCCAAAGAAGGGUGACCUUAUCAACUUCAGUAACUGGCGAGGAAUCAUGUUACUCUCAGUGCCUGGUAAAACCAUGUGCAACAUCAUCCUGGAACGUACCAAGAAAGAUAUAAAGUGUGACCUUCAACAUCGGCCAAUGGUUGGCAGUGACAACUUGAGUAAGGCAAGGGUGUCUUAUAUCCCCACUAUUGUUUGCACUGGUCAUUAGCUGUAUCUUGAAGAAAGUAACCACCAAAGGCAACUGAGGAAUUUUAUAAAUUGAUAAAGCACAAUUGGAUGACUUCAUUUUUGCUGAUAACUUGUCCUGCUUAGUUCAAUGCAUUGUUUAAUGGAAGAAAAAAAACCAAGCUUUUGGCAGCAAAAAAGUUGGUUUGUUCAUCAACCAGAAGACAAAAUAUAUGGCUAUCAACAUCCCAAAAGCAACCAAAAGCAAGAGUGGAUGAAGAAACACUAGAAGAAAAAAAGUCAUUUAAUCUAUCUAGGGAGUGAGAUGUGCAAUGAUGGUGACAUUAUGCUAGAUGUCAAGCAACAACUAUCAAAAGCAGCAAACAACUUUCAUAAACUUGAAAAGAUUUGGAAAAGUAACAUGAUUGAUACUGACAAAAAAUAUGAAUUUUUAGCACCGGCAGUAUUUCUGUCCUCCUUUAUGGAGCAGAGUCAUAGAAACCUACACCAAAAAUUGACAAGAAAAUCAACUCAUCUCAAAGUAAAUGCCUUCAGAAUAUCUUCAGAGUCCAUUGGAAAGUGUUUCUUGCAACACCAGAAAUUAUAAGUAGAGCAAACCAAUCCAAAUAAUCAAAAAUGGUAAGAAGAUGACAAUGGACAGAUUUUGGACAUGCUUUAGGGAUCCACCUAUACAAUGCCCAAUGCAAGUGAUAAUGUGGACAUCAUCUGGAUAGAGAAAAAGACAGCAGAACAAUAGAGAAAGAGGCUAAAUCCAUCAACAUGACACUCAGAAGUCUGAACAAACCAGCACAACACGAAAAUAAAUGGCAGAAAAUUCUGAACACCCUAUACAUUUGACGAUAUAAGAUGUUAAAGAAAGAAAAGGAAAAAAAAGAUAACCUUUGGAUGAUGAGCACAUACUUAGCAUUAACAGGAUGUUUUUAUAUUAAGAGCUUAGCUUUAUAUGAUUUGCAUUAAAAAUUAAAUUCAGUAACUAAAGAUGGGUCCCCAAAAGCAC